rnacentral:rRNA from 1 species
AGGACGAACGCUGGCGGCGUGCUUAACACAUGCAAGUCGAACGGUAAGGCCCCUUCGGGGGUACACGAGUGGCGAACGGGUGAGUAACACGUGGGUAAUCUGCCCUGCACUUCGGGAUAAGCCUGGGAAACUGGGUCUAAUACCGGAUAUGAGCUCCUGCCGCAUGGUGGGGGUUGGAAAGUUUUUCGGUGCAGGAUGAGUCCGCGGCCUAUCAGCUUGUUGGUGGGGUAAUGGCCUACCAAGGCGACGACGGGUAGCCGGCCUGAGAGGGUGAUCGGCCACACUGGGACUGAGACACGGCCCAGACUCCUACGGGAGGCAGCAGUGGGGAAUAUUGCACAAUGGGCGGAAGCCUGAUGCAGCGACGCCGCGUGGGGGAUGACGGUCUUCGGAUUGUAAACCCCUUUCAGUAGGGACGAAGCGAGAGUGACGGUACCUGCAGAAGAAGCACCGGCUAACUACGUGCCAGCAGCCGC